AUGAGGUUCUUGUAUAGGAAAUGUCUUUGCUUGUGUGUGUGUUGUUUACAAGUAAAUUUAAGUUGAAUAAUUUGGUUUGGUUUUUUUACAGGCACACGCUUGUGAGUCUGAGACUGGAUGAGGGGCAAACAUUUGACUGUGAGUCUGAGACUUGAUGAAGGAUCAUUAGACAGCUGAGAUCGAUCGGUGUCCGGGUCAUAGGGUGGAAGAUGCAGGAGCGAGGAAACGCUUUCGCUGCGA